rnacentral:rRNA from 1 species
GACGAACGCUGGCGGCGUGCUUAACACAUGCAAGUCGAACGGAAAGGCCCUGCUUUUGUGGGGUGCUAGAGUGGCGAACGGGUGAGUAACACGUGAGUAACCUGCCCUGGACUUUGGGAUAACUUCAGGAAACUGGGGCUAAUACCGGAUAGGAGCACCUGCUGCAUGGUGGGGGUUGGAAAGUUUCGGCGGUUGGGGAUGGACUCGCGGCUUAUCAGCUUGUUGGUGGGGUAGUGGCUUACCAAGGCUUUGACGGGUAGCCGGCCUGAGAGGGUGACCGGCCACAUUGGGACUGAGAUACGGCCCAGACUCCUACGGGAGGCAGCAGUGGGGAAUAUUGCACAAUGGGCGGAAGCCUGAUGCAGCAACGCCGCGUGCGGGAUGACGGCCUUCGGGUUGUAAACCGCUUUCGCCUGUGACGAAGCGUGAGUGACGGUAAUGGGUAAAGAAGCACCGGCUAACUACGUG